AAAAAAAAUUUGAUUUUGGUUUAAAAAAAUUGGUUUUGGAUUGUUAUGCAUGUAAGUUUUUGUAAGAUUAAAUUUCCUAAAUGGAUUAAAAUUUAUUUUCAGUGUUUAAAUUUUAUAAUUUUUUUUUUUAAAAUUAAGCAAUUUUAAAUAUUUCAGUAUAAUUAUGUGCCAGCAUUCGCGGUUAAACAUCAUGAAAAAAUAAUUUAAUUUUGGUAAUCAGUUUUUUUUAUAAGAAUUUGUUUAUUUAGGUGAAAUUUAUAUUUAAAAUUUUUUUUUUACUGAAUACACUUUUUUUUAAACCAGGAUUAGAUACCCUGUUAUUUAAGAUUAAUAAAUUUUCCGGGUAGUAAAUUUUUUUUUAAAUUCAAUAAAUUUGGCGGUUUUUAAAUCUAAUUAGAGGAACCUGUAAUUUAAAUGAUAAUCCACGAUUAAUUUUACCUUUAUUUUUUUUGUAUAUCUCUGUUGUUGAAUGUAUUGAAAAAUUAAUUUUCUUUUUUUUUAUAAAAUUUAUGUUAGGUCAAGGUGCAAUUAUAUUUAGGUUAUUAUGGGUUACAUUAAUAUUGUUUGGAAAAAAUUAUUUAUAUAAAUAAUUUAAAUUUGGAUUUAAAAGUAAUUAAUUUUAUUAAAAUUUUUGAAUAAUGCUCUUAAUUAUGUACAUAUCGCCCGUCACUCUCAUAUAGUGAGAUAAGUCGUAACAAAGUAGAUGUACUGGAAAGUGUAUCUAGAAA
rnacentral:ncRNA from 1 species